rnacentral:rRNA from 1 species
AUUGAACGCUGGCGGCAGGCCUAACACAUGCAAGUCGAGCGGAUGACGGGAGCUUGCUCCUUGAUUCAGCGGCGGACGGGUGAGUAAUGCUUAGGAAUCUGCCUGGUAGUGGGGGACAACGUUUCGAAAGGAACGCUAAUACCGCAUACGUCCUACGGGAGAAAGCAGGGGACCUUCGGGCCUUGCGCUAUCAGAUGAGCCUAGGUCGGAUUAGCUAGUUGGUGGGGUAAUGGCUCACCAAGGCGACGAUCCGUAACUGGUCUGAGAGGAUGAUCAGUCACACUGGAACUGAGACACGGUCCAGACUCCUACGGGAGGCAGCAGUGGGGAAUACUGGACAAUGGGCGAAAGCCUGAUCCAGCCAUGCCGCGUGUGUGAAGAAGGUCUUCGGAUUGUAAAGCACUUUAAGUUGGGAGGAAGGGCAGUAAGCUAAUACCUUGCUGUUUUGACGUUACCGACAGAAUAAGCACCGGCUAACUCUGUGCCAGCCGCCGCGGUAA